rnacentral:rRNA from 1 species
CUUAACACAUGCAAGUCGAACGGAAAGGCCCUUCGGGGUACUCGAGUGGCGAACGGGUGAGUAACACGUGGGUGAUCUGCCCUGCACUUUGGGAUAAGCCUGGGAAACUGGGUCUAAUACCGAAUAGGACCACGCGCUUCAUGGUGUGUGGUGGAAAGCUUUUGCGGUGUGGGAUGGGCCCGCGGCCUAUCAGCUUGUUGGUGGGGUAAUGGCCUACCAAGGCGACGACGGGUAGCCGGCCUGAGAGGGUGACCGGCCACACUGGGACUGAGAUACGGCCCAGACUCCUACGGGAGGCAGCAGUGGGGAAUAUUGCACAAUGGGCGCAAGCCUGAUGCAGCGACGCCGCGUGAGGGAUGACGGCCUUCGGGUUGUAAACCUCUUUCAAUAGGGACGAAGCGUGAGUGACGGUACCUAUAGAAGAAGCACCGGCCAACUACGUGCCAGCAGCC